rnacentral:rRNA from 1 species
UACGUAGGGUGCAAGCGUUAAUCGGAAUUACUGGGCGUAAAGCGUGCGCAGGCGGUUUUGUAAGUCAGAUGUGAAAUCCCCGGGCUUAACCUGGGAACUGCAUUUGUGACUGGCGAGCUAGAGUAUGGCAGAGGGGGGUAGAAUUCCACGUGUGAGCAGUGAAAUGCGUAGAGAUGUGGAGGAAUACCGAUGGCGAAGGCAGCCCCCUGGGCCAAUACUGACGCUCAUGCACGAAAGCGUGGGGAGCAAACAGG